GGAAGCGGGAUCGACGGGGGAGUGGCGGCCAUCAAUCCCGCCCUGCGAGGACGCGAACAGAAAGUGGAGAACUGAAAUACCUUUUUCAUAAGCCCACAUCAAACAGGUCUGCUCAUCUUUUUCUCCACUAGACCUGCUGGGAUCACAGGCUACCAGAUUCAUAUCAGCUCCAUUAUCCAGUAAAAACUGUACUAGACGAAUGUGACCAUGGUAGCAAGCACAGUGUAAUCCUAGAACAUUAGAGAAGAAAGAACAGUAACUGUGAGUCCUGAGAGAUAUGAAUUAAAUGUCCAACCAAGUCAGUAUACAUUAAAACGAAGAGGUCAAACUCAUGAAACAUAUUGCUGAAUUUCUGAGCAUGUUUUCAGAUUCCUUUGGCUAAUUUUAUAUCAUGAAUUAUUUUUAUUCUUAAGUGUUUAUGAGUUCUUCCUCUGUUACCAUGGUGAUUUCAAGUUUCAAAAUGUAGUACUUUGGGGGUAAGACAUUUUCAGUUUUCUUUGCUUUUUCAAUUGAGGAAUGUACAAAUUUUAAAAUAAAUAAUCUUGAAUGGGGCCCUAAUUUCCUCUUCUUUUGGAAUAUAUUAACUAAGUGAUAAUAAGCCUUUUACAGCCUUGUAUAGUGAAUGCACAUCUCUUCUCCUCUCCCUCUCCCCCUUUAUUAUAAUUAUACUGGUUCAGUGCGCACAUAUCAAGACUUAAAUAUCAAGGGCUCACUGUUCAAAAACAUAUUUACAAAUCUGAGUCAUGCUGUUUCCCCAUUUUUUUCUAAUGAGUGAGUAGGAGGGAUGUAAUACAUUCAUGACUCUCAGAGAACAUGUUAAAUUUAUACUCCCAGAUACCAGUAAGUAGGAGGAGUGUGGGUGCAAACACAGUAACAGUGUCACUUGCAGAACAGGUCUAUGAUAUUGUGGAAAUCAUGUAUAUGAAUGAUGCUGCUUUUGGCACCACUGAUUUUGGAGCUGUGCACAGAAAACCUGAGUCCUGUGUGAAAUGAUCAAAGGAAAAAGACAUAUGGACGAUUGCCUUUUGUACUGUGUGGUUAUCUAGCAAAGGAUAGUAUAUCGAUAGAUAUGAGAGCGAGAGCGAGAUUAGAAUAGAUAUAGAUAUACCCACACAUAUAUAGAGAGAGACCCCAAUUCAGGACAACAUUUUUAUUCAGAACAGCACUGAAUCAUGUGCUUAACUCUAAGCGUGUGCUCAUAAUCCACUGAAGUUUAUGGAAGUUAUGUAUAUGCUUAAGUGCUGUCAUGAAUAGGGAUGGAUUUCGGCACAUGCUCAAGUGCUUUCCUGAAUUUAGGAUUUAGAAUUUAGGCCAUUUACUGCAGGCUUGAGAAUGCAGUACUCACAUACACAAAACUCCCACAAUGACCACCUCCUACUGAAAUUAACUGAAAGAUUCCCAUUGACUUCAAUGGGCAUUGGAUCAGGAACUGACUAAGGAUUACGAGACUGGGAAUUUUAUAUGAUUUUCAAAUAUGGAUAGAUGAAAUCCUUUUUAUGCUUUGUCUGCUGUGCUUCAUUGUGUUAAUUAAUGAUUAGCUAUGAAUAUUGAUUGGCAGAAGACAUCGAAUGGGGUUCUAGAUUGUGAGAUUGAACUUGAAUAAUUUUGAUAACUUUGUUCUUACUAUAAUAUGUAGGAUUCUUGUAGCAAAUGCCAAUUGCCCCGUCCCCUUCCAUUUUGCUUUUAAUUAGCUCUCUCGGGAUCACAUGGAGAGUGUCUCCCUGGGCUAAAUCCUGACUCAACAGAAAUCAGUGGAAGUUUUCCCACUGACUCUAAGGGGCCAGGAAUUUAUGCAAUGUAUUUGGGAUAUAAGUGUGUUAAUGGUAGUAAUAUUAAAGUCAAUAGCUUUAUUAAAAAUAAGUACUUUUU